rnacentral:tRNA from 1 species
GUUUUUAUGGUGUAAACAACACAUUACAUUUUCGCUGUAAAACUAAAGUCUAAGAACUUUUUAAAACU